CCAUCAGUGAUCCUCUGCACAAUUCCACAAUACAUGUGAUACGGACUGUUCUGGUUCUUGACUAUAGCAAUCAUCCCCGGCAUGAGAAGGGGUAGCUUGGGCGCUUUCGGCUUCUUAUCUGUAGCAACCGCGGAUGCAUCGCUUCCUUGUUUUGCAGGUGGUGGUGGUGGAGGAGGUGGUGGAUUUUUUUCGAUAAACGUUUUUAAACCCUUUUCGCCACCGGGAAAUCCUCCUGUGAGACCCAUCAUCUCUUUCUCGAAACCAUCUUCAGUUUUGACUGCUGUUUUGGAGGCGGGAAAACCGACCGGUUUACAGUUGAAAAUUGAUGUGUUUGGCCUAGAAAUUUUGAUCGAUGAAUCGGAGUUCUAAUGGUCGGGAUAGUGAUCGAAGAAGUCGCCAUAACUAUUUUUGCCUGCAGAGUAGAGUAGAGGUGACUAAGGGAGAUAUGAAGAAGAUGGAAGAGGAAGGAAGAAGCGUGUGAUUGAUUCGCUUGUUAUAAUGACCACAUAUCAUGAUUUCAGUUAGAUGAGUUCUAUCUAUUUCCAAAUUACCAGUGGACCUGAACCGGUU